GCUGCCUCCUGUUUCUAUGCCCAUGCCUCCUCUCCUCUUCCUCUCUCUAGCUCACGUCCUCUCUCUCUAGGCAUCCUUUCUUGGAGCCAAAAGAAGGGUGGGCAACAUCAUAGGAGGUGGUGUCAAUUGUUGGCACCACUUGCUCUUGAUUUGUUCCCUUCCAUUUCAAGUUUGUUGAGAGUUAGUUACAACCACUUCUUGGUUGUUGUUCUUCUUGGUUAGUUGAAAGAUCAAGAAAGAUUCUGGAUUUCUUCAAGAAUCAAUAAAGAAAGAUCAAAAGGAUUCACAAUUAAAAGCCUCUCCGAUUUGAUUCAAGCCUAUUCAGGCUUUUGGUUCAAGCAAGCAGGAGUCAAGAGAAUCGAUUCAGGUCAGCUCUGUGGAUAUCCGUAGAGGCAGGAUGCUUGUGUUGUUGAUUCAGAACCUAUUCAGGCCUU
rnacentral:lncRNA from 1 species